AUUGAACGCUGGCGGCAUGCCUUACACAUGCAAGUCGAACGGCAGCACGGGUGCUUGCACCUGGUGGCGAGUGGCGAACGGGUGAGUAAUACAUCGGAACAUGUCCUGUAGUGGGGGAUAGCCCGGCGAAAGCCGGAUUAAUACCGCAUACGAUCUACGGAUGAAAGCGGGGGACCUUCGGGCCUCGCGCUAUAGGGUUGGCCGAUGGCUGAUUAGCUAGUUGGUGGGGUAAAGGCCUACCAAGGCGACGAUCAGUAGCUGGUCUGAGAGGACGACCAGCCACACUGGGACUGAGACACGGCCCAGACUCCCACGGGAGGCAGCAGUGGGGAAUUUUGGACAAUGGGCGAAAGCCUGAUCCAGCAAUGCCGCGUGUGUGAAGAAGGCCUUCGGGUUGUAAAGCACUUUUGUCCGGAAAGAAAUCCUUGGCCCUAAUACGGUCGGGGGAUGACGGUACCGGAAGAAUAAGCACCGGCUAACUA
rnacentral:rRNA from 1 species